rnacentral:rRNA from 1 species
UACAGAGGUCUCAAGCGUUGUUCGGAUUCAUUGGGCGUAAAGGGUGCGUAGGCGGCGCGGUAAGUCGGGUGUGAAAUCUCGGAGCUUAACUCCGAAACUGCAUUCGAUACUGCCGUGCUUGAGGACUGGAGAGGAGACUGGAAUUUACGGUGUAGCGGUGAAAUGCGUAGAUAUCGUAAGGAAGACCAGUGGCGAAGGCGGGUCUCUGGACAGUUCCUGACGCUGAGGCACGGAAGGCCCAGGGGGAGCAAAACGGG